UACGAAGGGUGCAAGCGUUACUCGGAAUUACUGGGCGUAAAGCGUGCGUAGGCGGCCAACUAAGUCAGACGUGAAAUCCCUCGGCUUAACCGGGGAACUGCGUCUGAUACUGGAUGGCUUGAGUUUGGGAGAGGGAUGCGGAAUUCCAGGUGUAGCGGUGAAAUGCGUAGAUAUCUGGAGGAACACCGGUGGCGAAGGCGGCAUCCUGGACCAACACUGACGCUGAGUGAGCGAAAGCCAGGGGAGCAAACGGG
rnacentral:rRNA from 1 species